CNNGUCGAGCGGACAGAUGGGAGCUUGCUCCCUGAUGUUAGCGGCGGACGGGUGAGUAACACGUGGGUAACCUGCCUGUAAGACUGGGAUAACUCCGGGAAACCGGGGCUAAUACCGGAUGSUUGUUUGAACCGCAUGGUUCAGACAUAAAAGGUGGCUUCGGCUACCACUUACAGAUGGACCCGCGGCGCAUUAGCUAGUUGGUGAGGUAACGGCUCACCAAGGCRACGAUGCGUAGCCGACCUGAGAGGGUGAUCGGCCACACUGGGACUGAGACACGGCCCAGACUCCUACGGGAGGCAGCAGUAGGGAAUCUUCCGCAAUGGACGAAAGUCUGACGGAGCAACGCCGCGUGAGUGAUGAAGGUUUUCGGAUCGUAAAGCUCUGUUGUUAGGGAAGAACAAGUGCCGUUCAAAUAGGGCGGCACCUUGACGGUACCUAACCAGAAAGCCACGGCUAACUACGUGCCAGCAGCCGCGGUAAUACGUAGGUGGCAAGCGUUGUCCGGAAUUAUUGGGCGUAAAGGGCUCGCAGGCGGUUUCUUAAGUCUGAUGUGAAAGCCCCCGGCUCAACCGGGGAGGGUCAUUGGAAACUGGGGAACUUGAGUGCAGAAGAGGAGAGUGGAAUUCCACGUGUAGCGGUGAAAUGCGUAGAGAUGUGGAGGAACACCAGUGGCGAAGGCGACUCUCUGGUCUGUAACUGACGCUGAGGAGCGAAAGCGUGGGGAGCGAACAGGAUUAGAUACCCUGGUAGUCCACGCCGUAAACGAUGAGUGCUAAGUGUUAGGGGGUUUCCGCCCCUUAGUGCUGCAGCUAACGCAUUAAGCACUCCGCCUGGGGAGUACGGUCGCAAGACUGAAACUCAAAGGAAUUGACGGGGGCCCGCACAAGCGGUGGAGCAUGUGGUUUAAUUCGAAGCAACGCGAAGAACCUUACCAGGUCUUGACAUCCUCUGACAAUCCUAGAGAUAGGACGUCCCCUUCGGGGGCAGAGUGACAGGUGGUGCAUGGUUGUCGUCAGCUCGUGUCGUGAGAUGUUGGGUUAAGUCCCGCAACGAGCGCAACCCUUGAUCUUAGUUGCCAGCAUUCAGUUGGGCACUCUAAGGUGACUGCCGGUGACAAACCGGAGGAAGGWGGGGAUGACGUCAAAUCAUCAWGCCC
rnacentral:rRNA from 2 species